ACGUCGCAUGCUCCCGGCCGCCAUGCCGGCCGCGGGAAUUCGAUUAGAGUUUGAUCAUGGCUCAGAUUGAACGCUGGCGGCAGGCCUAACACAUGCAAGUCGAGCGGUAGAGAGAAGCUUGCUUCUCUUGAGAGCGGCGGACGGGUGAGUAAUGCCUAGGAAUCUGCCUGGUAGUGGGGGAUAACGUUCGGAAACGGACGCUAAUACCGCAUACGUCCUACGGGAGAAAGCAGGGGACCUUCGGGCCUUGCGCUAUCAGAUGAGCCUAGGUCGGAUUAGCUAGUUGGUAGGGUAAUGGCUCACCAAGGCGACGAUCCGUAACUGGUCUGAGAGGAUGAUCAGUCACACUGGAACUGAGACACGGUCCAGACUCCUACGGGAGGCAGCAGUGGGGAAUAUUGGACAAUGGGCGAAAGCCUGAUCCAGCCAUGCCGCGUGUGUGAAGAAGGUCUUCGGAUUGUAAAGCACUUUAAGUUGGGAGGAAGGGCAGUAAAUUAAUACUUUGCUGUUUUGACGUUACCGACAGAAUAAGCACCGGCUAACUCUGUGCCAGCAGCCGCGGUAAUACGAAUCACUAGUGAAUUCGCGGCCGCCUGCAGGUCGACCAUAUGGGAGAGCU
rnacentral:rRNA from 1 species